rnacentral:rRNA from 1 species
GAUGAACGCUAGCUACAGGCUUAACACAUGCAAGUCGAGGGGAAACGACAUCGAAAGCUUGCUUUUGAUGGGCGUCGACCGGCGCACGGGUGAGUAACGCGUAUCCAACCUGCCCAUCACUUGGGAAUAACCUUGCGAAAGUAAGACUAAUACCCAAUGAUAUCCCACGAAGGCAUCGGAAUGGGAUUAAAGAUUUAUCGGUGAUGGAUGGGGAUGCGUCUGAUUAGCUUGUUGGCGGGGUAACGGCCCACCAAGGCAACGAUCAGUAGGGGUUCUGAGAGGAAGGCCCCCCAAAUUGGAACGGGGACACGGCCCAAACCCCUACGGGGGGAAAGAGUGGGGAAUGUUGGCCAAGGGGGGAGGGCCUGAACCAGCCAAGUAGGGGGCAGAAAGCCGGCCCUAUGGGUUGUAAACUUUUUUUAUAAGGGAAAAAAGGGGGUCACGUGUGACUUUUUGCAUGUCCCUUAGAAAAAAGGACCGGCUAAUUCCGU